GGACCCGCACAAGUAGUGGAGCAUGUGGUUUAAUUCGAAGAUACGCGCAGAACCUUACCAACACUUGACAUGUUCGUCGCGACUUUAAGAGAUUAAAGUUUUCGGUUCGGCCGGACGAAACACAGGUGCUGCAUGGCUGUCGUCAGCUCGUGUCGUGAGAUGUUGGGUUAAGUCCCGCAACGAGCGCAACCCUCACUUUUAGUUGCCAUCAUUAAGUUGGGCACUCUGAAAGAACUGCCAGUGAUAAGCUGGAGGAAGGUGGGGAUGACGUCAAGUCCUCAUGGCCCUUACGUGUUGGGCUACACACGUGCUACAAUGGUAUCUACAACAGGAAGCAAGACGGCGACGUUAAGCAAAUCCUUAAAAGAUACCUCAGUUCGGAUUGCACUCUGCAACUCGAGUGCAUG
rnacentral:rRNA from 1 species